CCAACACACCAAAUGUUUGCAGGACCAAGAGAAUACGAAUGAAGCCUUUGGAAUACUGGCGAGGGGAACGCAUAGAUUAUCAAGGAAGGCCGUCAGGGGGCUUUGUGAUUGGUGGAAUACUAUCCCCAGACGCAGUAUCAUCUAAAAGGAAGGCAAAAGGAAACAUGGAAAAAGUCAACAAAAUUGUUAAUAGAAAAAGGAUCUGUCUUGAUAAUGAUAAAAGAAAUAAUAAAUUAGCGAUAAAUCUGAAUAUACCUCUGGGAGAUCCUUUGCAACCAACGAGGGUAAAGGACCCAGAAACAAGAGAGAUUAUUCUUAUGGAUCUUGUAAGGCCA